CAACUUUAUUUUCUGUUUUGUUCUAACAAGGUCACUUUUCAUUCAAGCAAAUUAACCUUAGAGAAAGAGAGCAGCUAUGCUCUUUCAUUCAUGUACAAGACCUCUAUGUUACAGAGGUAAUUUCUUCCCUUUAAUCCAUUUUUUUCCUUUAUUCCAUAGCCAUAUAGCUCUAUUUCAUUCUUACACUUCUAUUUCUUCGUUUCGAAAGAAGCCAUCGAUUUCGAGAAAGCGUAAACUCGUUUAUUUUAGGGAACUCAGACACAUAAAUAAUUUAAACGAUGCUAUUCAUAUUUUUCAUCAAAUGGUCAAAGAAGAACCUGUCCCUUCAGUUGUAGAGUUUUCUAAACUGUUAAGGGUGUUGAUAAAUUUGAAGAAAUAUUCAUCAGUUGUUUCGUUUUUCGGAGAGAUGAGGAGGUUAGGGAUUGCUUUUGAUGAUUAUAUAUUGACUAUUUUGAUUAAUUCUUAUUGUUUAAUGGGUUAUGCUGAAUGUGGGUUUUCGAUAUUAUGUGUUUUCGUUAAGAAUGGAGUGCAGUUUAAUUCGGUUACGUUUACUACUCUUAUAAGGGGACUUUGUGAGGAAAAUAAGAUUGAGGAUGCAAUGUGGUUGUUUAGGAAGUUGGUGGCGGAGAAAAUAUGUGAAAUGGAUGAGGUUUUGUAUGGUACGGUUAUGAAUGGGCUAUGUAAACAAGGGCAUACUCAGACGGCGCUUAGUUUGUUGAGGAUAAUGGAGCAAGGGGAUACGAAGCCUAAUACGAUUGUGUAUAGUAUUGUAGUAGAUGCGCUUUGUAAGGAUCAAAUGGUUGGCGCUGCGUUUAAUCUUUUUGAUGAAAUGAAGCGAAAAGGGAUCACUCCGAAUGUGCUUACUUAUAGUUCAUUGGUUGAUGGUUUGUGUAAGUUUGAUCAGUGGGAGAAGGUUAAGACGCUUUUGGAUGAGAUGAUGUGUCUCAAUAUUUCUCCGAAUGUGCAUACGUUUAGCAUGUUGGUAGAUGCAUUUUGUAAGAAAGGGAUGGUUGAAGAUUCUGUGGAAGUGUUAAAGAUAAUGAUACAAAGAGGCGAGCGUCCAGAUGUGGUUACCUAUAACGCUGUAAUGGAAGGCUAUUGUUUGCGCGGAGAAGUUGAUGUAGCGAGGAGAGUUUUAGACACUAUGAUUGAUGCUGGCGUAAAGCCUGACAUCUUUAGUUACAAUAUAUUAGUCAAUGGAUAUUGCAAGCAAAAGAAAUUAGACGAGGCCACGCGUUUGUAUUGUGAAAUCUUGCAAAAGGGGUUGAAAUCUGAUAUCGUUACGUAUUCUACUAUCCUGCAAGGCCUAUUUGAAGUUGGUAGAGUUGAAUGUGCAGAGAAUUUCUUUACCGAGAUGCAAAAUGCAGGCCAUAGUCCUGACAUUUACACCCGUGGCAUUAUGCUUCAUGGUUAUUUAAAGAAUGGACAUGUAGAAAAAGCUAUGUCCCUCUUUCAUAGGUGGGAAAAGCAAAAGGAAGAUACUAAUAUUUUAAUCUACAAUACACAAAACGGUGGAUUUUUUAGAAUUCAAAAGCUUGAGAAAGCCCGUUCUAUUUUUGAUAAGCUUUAUUCCGUAGGGUUGCAUCCUGAUGCUAUAACAUACAACGUAACAGUAAAUGGACUUCGUAUUGAAGGUUUAGUAGAUGAAGCCAAAGAGUUGCUAAGAAAAAUGGAGGAGAGUGGUCGUUUGCCGGACAAUGCCACUUCCAAUCUUUUUGUGAAUGGAUUUCUCAAGAGUAAUAAAUCUAACGAAGCAAUGUCUCUUUUGAAGGAAAUUGUUGGGAGGGGUUUCCCGGCCGAGAAAGCCACAAUUUCAUUGCUGAUAGAACUACUUUUAUUAAUAGGGGAAGGUCCUUUUUUGCUUAAUAUGAUACCGGAAUUUCAUCUAAGAAAUGGGAAAUGAAGCUCUUUUUCCUCUCACAAUUGAACUACUUGAGAGCUUGACUACAAUUGGGAAAACAGAACGAUGAUAGCAUUCAAAGUUUGCUUAGCUUCCAAUUAUGGUUGUUAGAGGCUUGGGUACCAGAUAUUGUGACUAGUGUUAUCAACGCGAUGAAGAGAUGGGAAAAAGAACAUGAA